AGGAGGAAUGCAGGCGCUUGCGGCAGAGCAUAAAAUGUGGCUUGAUUAGAAGAUUGACUGUGGGGGAUCUUUUGACAAAAGCCAAAGCUAUACAAGAAGUGAGAGUUAAAGAUUGGUUAGCAAGUGAGACACUGCGACUCAAUCAUCUUCGUGAUCGAGCAAGUGAUUUGGGCCAG